rnacentral:rRNA from 1 species
GGGGAAUCUUCCGCAAUGGGCGAAAGCCUGACGGAGCAACGCCGCGUGAGUGAAGACGGCCUUCGGGUUGUAAAGCUCUGUUAUACGGGACGAAUAAUCUUGUGGUUAAUACCCAUAAGAAGUGACGGUACCGUAAGAGAAAGCCACGGCUAACUACGUGCCAGCAGCCGCGGUAAUACGUAGGUGGCAAGCGUUGUCCGGAAUUAUUGGGCGUAAAGGGCGCGCAGGCGGCUUCUUAAGUCUGUCUUAAAAGUGCGGGGCUUAACCCCGUGAUGGGAUGGAAACUGGGAAGCUCAGAGUAUCGGAGAGGAAAGCGGAAUUCCUAAUGUAGCGGUGAAAUGCGUAGAUAUUAGGAGGAACACCAGUGGCGAAAGCGGCUUUCUGGACGAAAACUGACGCUGAGGCGCGAAAGCCAGGGGAGCGAACGGGAUUAGAUACCCCGGUAGUCCUGGCCGUAAACGAUGGGUACUAGGUGUAGGAGGUAUCGACCCCUUCUGUGCCGGAGUUAACGCAAUAAGUACCCCGCCUGGGGAGUACGGCCGCAAGGUUG